GACGAACGCUGGCGGCGCGCCUAACACAUGCAAGUCGAACGAGCGAGAGAGAUCUUGCUUUCUUGAGCGAGUGGCGAACGGGUGAGUAACGCGUGAGGAACCUGCCUCAAAGAGGGGGACAACAGUUGGAAACGACUGCUAAUACCGCAUAAGCCCACGGUGCCGCAUGGCACAGAGGGAAAAGGAGCAAUCCGCUUUGAGAUGGCCUCGCGUCCGAUUAGCUAGUUGGUGAGGUAACGGCCCACCAAGGCGACGAUCGGUAGCCGGACUGAGAGGUUGAACGGCCACAUUGGGACUGAGACACGGCCCCGACUGCUACGGGAGGCAGGAGAGGGGGAUAUUGGACAAUGGGGGAAAUCCUGAAGCAGCGACGGCGGGAGGAGGAAGAAGGUCUUCGGAUUGGAAACUCCUGUUGUUGGAGAAGAUAAUGACGGUACCCAACAAGGAAGUGACGGCUAACUACGUG
rnacentral:rRNA from 1 species